rnacentral:rRNA from 1 species
UACGGAGGGGGCUAGCGUUGUUCGGAAUUACUGGGCGUAAAGGGUGCGUAGGUGGUUUUUCAAGUCAGGAGUGAAAGGCUACGGCUCAACCGUAGUAAGCUCUUGAAACUGUAAAACUUGAGUGCAGGAGAGGAGAGUGGAAUUCCUAGUGUAGCGGUGAAAUGCGUAGAUAUUAGGAGGAACACCAGUUGCGAAGGCGGCUCUCUGGACUGUAACUGACACUGAGGCACGAAAGCGUGGGGAGCAAACAGG